rnacentral:lncRNA from 1 species
GGGAAAUUUUUGGCUGCACAAGCUUGGAAUGAGUAUAAGCAAGUGGUCACAGCUGAAUUCCCUGAUUGAAUUGGGUGAAAACAGAGCUCUAGAAAAAGAUCAUCCAAACACAUCUGAAGUUUGUUCUGAUCUUGACCACAAAGUUGCUGAGCUGGAAGAGUGUAAAACAAAAGAAGAGUUUCCAUAUAUCCCAUACAAACUAGCUACACUGUAUAUUCUAAAGGUUGUAAAAGACAUGCAGGAAAUGAAAAGCAAACACAUGAAGAUAAUCAAACAACUAGACAAUUUAAAAAAAGAAAAACAGGAGCAGACUAUAACUACCGUAAAACUAUAUGGUGACAAAAUCAGGAGUCUGAAAUCUCAAUUAGAAGCUUACCGAGAGCUGAUGAACAAGAACAGACAAAACUGGCAAAAUACAGCUAAGGGCCUGAGGGAAAGUAACAAUCAGCUAAGCCAAGAGAAGGAAGAUCUUCUUCACCAAAUGAAACAACAAACAGAGAAAUGGGAAGAAAAAAAGGUCUGGAUCCUUGAAAAUCUGUCUAAAAAAAUCAGUCAUCUUUACACCCGGCAUGCACUGACUUUGCAGGAAUUUCGUAACAUCAGCCUACAUGUGGGAAGAGUGUCAGACCUCGUGAAUUUCCAGAUUAAAAUCCUUCAGCAAAAAUAUGAAAAGACCGAAGUAGAAAAAGCAGAUGUACCGAUUUUAAAAUCAAAAGCAGAACAAGUAGCUAAUAAAGAAAAGUCUGAAAGCACAGUGGAAAUAGGACCUCUUUGGCAAGCACAUGCCAUCCUGCAAAAGAUACAGGAGUCUUUAUGGAAACAAGAAAGAGAAGUUACUGAGCUCCUGGAAAGUGAAAGGAGAUAUAACAACACAAUGAAACCUCAAAUUACAGUCCUAGUAUUCUUGCAAAAUCUGGUCAAGAAGGUUCACACCAUAUACUCUGAUGUCCCUGAGGCACAGCAGUACCUCAGUCAGCUUGUCAAGAAGAAUGAGGUUGAAAGGGCUGAUUGGAAAGGAGCCUUUAAUAAUGCUCAGGCUGACAUUUUGUCCUAUGAGGUAUUUUGUGGAAAUGAACCUAUGGAUGACAAAAGUGACAGGACGCAGCUGUCAACAAAGCUUUUCAGAAAUUUUGAGAGAGCAAAGUCUGAAUUAGAAUUUGUUGAAACAGAGAAGACAGUUUUUGAUUGUAUCCAGACAGGAGAAAUCCCCAACUGGAUUAAAAGGGAUUGUCUUUAUGUAGCCUUGACAGAAGACCAUAAUGAUGUUUGCUUUAAAGAGACAAGUCAGCAUUCAGAGGAAACCAUGCAAAAGUAUGAAAUGGAAAUGAAGGUGGCCAAGAGAACCAUGAAACAGUAAAAAACACACCAACAAUGGAACAAUUUUCCUCUUUUAAGGGGAGACACUGGAUGGACAUCUUGGAUAAUGCAGUUAGUAGCUUUGUGAUAAAAAAAUUAAUUGGAAGAAAUUCAAGCCCACUGUUCACUCUCAAUAAACUUUUGUAGGAGUUUAAGUGUUUUGAAACU